rnacentral:rRNA from 1 species
ACGCACGCUGGCGGCGUGCCUAAUACAUGCAAGUUGAGCGCUGAAGGUUGGUACUUGUACCGACUGGAUGAGCAGCGAACGGGUGAGUAACGCGUGGGGAAUCUGCCUUUGAGCGGGGGACAACAUUUGGAAACGAAUGCUAAUACCGCAUAAAAACUUUAAACACAAGUUUUAAGUUUGAAAGAUGCAAUUGCAUCACUCAAAGAUGAUCCCGCGUUGUAUUAGCUAGUUGGUGAGGUAAAGGCUCACCAAGGCGAUGAUACAUAGCCGACCUGAGAGGGUGAUCGGCCACAUUGGGACUGAGACACGGCCCAAACUCCUACGGGAGGCAGCAGUAGGGAAUCUUCGGCAAUGGACGAAAGUCUGACCGAGCAACGCCGCGUGAGUGAAGAAGGUUUUCGGAUCGUAAAACUCUGUUGGUAGAGAAGAACGUUGGUGAGAGUGGAAAGCUCAUCAAGUGACGGUAACUACCCAGAAAGGGACGGCUAACUACGU